rnacentral:rRNA from 1 species
CCUACGGGAGGCAGCAGUAGGGAAUCUUUCACAAUGGGCGAAAGCCUGAUGGAGCAACGCCGCGUGCAGGAUGAAGGCCUUCGGGUUGUAAACUGCUUUUAUCAGCGAGAAAUAUGAUGGUAACUUAUGAAUCAGGAUCGGCUAACUACGUGCCAGCAGCCGCGGUCAUACGUAGGAUCCGAGCAUUAUCCGGAGUGACUGGGUGUAAAGAGUUGCGUAGGUGGCAUAAUAAGUAGCUAGUGAAAUCUGGUGGCUCAACCAUUCAGACUAUUAGCUAAACUGUUAAGCUCGAGACCGUUAGGGGUAACUGGAAUUUCUAGUGUAGGAGUGAAAUCCGUAGAUAUUAGAAGGAACACCAAUAGCGUAGGCAGGUUGCUGGGACGGUUCUGACACUAAGGCACGAAAGCGUAGGGAGCAAACGGGAUUAGAUACCCCAGUAGUC